GUAGUUAGCCGUGGCUUCCUCCUUAGGUACCGUCAUUAUCGUCCCUAAAGACAGAGCUUUACAAUCCGAAGACCGUCAUCACUCACGCGGCGUUGCUGCAUCAGGGUUUCCCCCAUUGUGCAAUAUUCCCCACUGCUGCCUCCCGUAGGAGUCUGGGCCGUGUCUCAGUCCCAAUGUGGCCGAUCAGCCUCUCAGCUCGGCUACCCAUCGCAGGCUUGGUGGGCUGUUAUCUCACCAACUACCUAAUGGGACGCGAACCCCUCCCUCAGCGGAUUGCUCCUUUGACCUCAUCCCGAUGCCGGGUCGUGGUCUUAUGCGGUAUUAGCACUUGUUUCCAGGUGUUAUCCCCCUCUGAAGGUCAGGUUGUUCACGCGUUACUCACCCGUUCGCCACUAAAGUAUCAACCGAAAUCAAUACUUCCGUUCGACUUGCAUGUGUUAGGCACGCCGCCAGCGUUCGUCCUGAGCCAGAAUCGAACCCUGA
rnacentral:rRNA from 1 species